ACAAAAAUCUACAAACAAAUAAUUAAAUAAAUAAAAAACCAACAACUUCUACGCGUUUUUUCGUUCGUUUAUACGGUUCGUUCGUACGUUUUCGUUUUCGCCAACCGUAUUGUGAUUUUUUUGAAAUUCGGUGUAAUCGUGGAAACAUCAAAAGCCAAGCGACAUAAUAUUGGUGACUUCGUCCAAGUAUCAUCUCCAGCAGUGCGCCGCAAACGGAGGGUAGGGCUUAUCUAACGCUGCUGCUAACAGAUGAGCCCCAACAACACAUGUCAAUUGUUGCAGCCGAAAAUGCAGGUCUUGGCCCAUGUGAUU
rnacentral:sRNA from 1 species